AUAGAUUUAACCCACUAAACCAAAUGAUUCCCUGAGGGACAGUAUCACAGUUUUGCAGUUUCCCACCUGCACACAUCCAGUUAAGUGCCUCACCCUUAGCAAGGCAAAAUGUAUGCCGUAUGGUAUAUAGGGCACAGCAGGGAGGUUAGAUGAUGUGAUGGGCUGGAGACAAUCACUGUGAUUCUGCAUUAUCUCUUCUCCCUCCUGUAUUUGCAGUGAUUCUUCUUUCUGCCAUAGAAAAAAACAUUUGAAGACUGUUGAAGAGCUCCUGAAGUUUUUGCCAAAGACUCUCUACUCAGCUGUGGAAAUUUGCUCUUCCCCUGGAAAAAGACAGCAUUGAUCUAGCAGGCAUCAGGGUCCAGGGUGACCCUACUAUAAAUGUACGUGCAUCUCCUAUGCAUGGCAGAGGGGACUUUAACCUGGUAAGUGCUGGCUGCAUUCUCUACACCUCUUCAUACUUUCAGGUAAAGGUAACAGAUCCAUAA
rnacentral:lncRNA from 14 species